AUUCCUGUGAGGAUGCCCUUGACUCCCUUAUGUGAUCAAGGAGCCGGUAUCAGGCACACAUUGUAGCCCACAACACCUUGCUUAGCCACACCCUCAAGGGAUUCAGCAGUGAUAAACAUUAAGCCAUAAGUGUAAACUCGACUUAAUUAAAGCUAAAAGGGCCGGUUAAAACUUGUGCCAGCCACCGCGGUUAAACGAGAGACCCAAGAUGACAGACAUCGGCGUAAAGGGUGGUUAAGUAACAAAACACUAAAGUUAAACAUUUACCUCAGCUGUAAUACGUACCCGUAAAUUUGAAAACCUUUAACGAAAGUGACUUUAAAAUUCUGACUCCACGAAAACUAUGAAACAAACUGGGAUUAGAGACCCCACUAUGCAUAGCCGUAAACAUUGAUUUAUAUUUACUUAUUAUCCGCCUGGGAACUACAAGCACUAGCUUAAAACCCAAAGGACUUGGCGGUGCUUCAAAUCCACCUAGAGGAGCCUGUUCUAGAACCGAUGAUCCCCGUUAAACCUCACCCUCUCUCGUUUUAUCCGCCUGUAUACCUCCGUCGUCAGCUUACCCUAUGAAGGAUUAAUAGUGAGCAAAAUUGGUAUCAUAAAUUACAUGCCCAAAAAGUCAGGUCGAGGUGCAGUUUAUGAGAGGGAAGAAAUGGGCUACAUUCGUCUACUGACGAAAACGAAUGAUUAAUUGAAAACAUAAGUCUGAAGGAGGAUUUAGUAGUAAGAAGACAAUAGAGAGUUCUUCUGAAAGUGGCCCUGAAGCAUGCACACACCGCCCGUCACUCUCCCCAAAAAUUCACCCAAAUAUUAAUAAAAAUUUAGAUCCUAAAAGGGGAGGCAAGUCGUAACAUGGUAAGUGUACCGGAAGGUGUACUUGGAAUAU
rnacentral:ncRNA from 1 species